rnacentral:rRNA from 1 species
UACGUAGGGUGCAAGCGUUAAUCGGAAUUACUGGGCGUAAAGCGUGCGCAGGCGGUUUUUUAAGCUUGAUGUGAAAUCCCCGGGCUUAACCUGGGAACUGCAUUGAGGACUGGAAGGCUAGAGUACGGCAGAGGGGGGUGGAAUUCCACGUGUAGCAGUGAAAUGCGUAGAGAUGUGGAGGAACACCGAUGGCGAAGGCAGCCCCCUGGGCCUGUACUGACGCUCAUGCACGAAAGCGUGGGGAGCAAAC